GGCGGCAUGGCCUAACACAUGCAAGUUCGAACGGCAGCACGGCAGUAGCAAUACCUGUGGGUGGCGAGUGGCGGACGGGUGAGGAAUACGGUCGGAAUCUGCCCAGUCGUGGGGGAUAACUAGCCGAAAGGUUAGCUAAUACCGCAUACGACCGAGAGGUGAAAGGCGGGGGACCGCAAGGCCUCGCGCGAUUGGAUGAGCCGACGUCGGAUUAGCUAGUUGGUGGGGUAAAGGCCCACCAAGGCGACGAUCCGUAGCUGGUCUGAGAGGAUGAUCAGCCACACUGGAACUGAGACACGGUCCAGACUCCUACGGGAGGCAGCAGUGGGGAAUAUUGGACAAUGGGCGCAAGCCUGAUCCAGCAAUGCCGCGUGUGUGAAGAAGGCCUUCGGGUUGUAAAGCACUUUUAUCAGGAACGAAAAGCGUUGGAUUAAUACUCUGACGUGCUGACGGUACCUGAGGAAUAAGCACCGGCUAACUUCGUG
rnacentral:rRNA from 1 species